CAGUCGCCACGGGAAUACGAAGGGUGCGAGCGUUGUCCGGAUUUAUUGGGCGUAAAGGGCUCGUAGGCGGCCUGUCGCGUCGGAAGUGAAAGCCCACUGCUUAACGGUGGGUCUGCUUCCGGUACGGGCAGGCUGGAGUAUGGCAGGGGAGACUGGAAUUCCUGGUGUAGCGGUGGAAUGCGCAGAUAUCAGGAGGAACACCGGUGGCGAAGGCGGGUCUCUGGGCCAUUACUGACGCUGAGGAGCGAAAGCGUGGGGAGCGAACAGGAUUAGAUACCCCGGUAGUCCCUGUCUCUUAUAC
rnacentral:rRNA from 1 species